rnacentral:lncRNA from 1 species
GAUUGGUGAAAGAAACAUUGUAUUGAUUAUUUCGCUUGAACAGGUGCAGGAAUAACAUAGAAUAUAAAUGAAUCGACAAUGACAAUUUCACGGAUGUAUGGAAAAUGAAAGUUGAAAUGCAAAAUAAUCUCCUAUUAUCGAACUACGCUAAAGCUGAAGAUUCUCGAGAUACACUUGAGAGCAAACUUAAUUGAUACUCAUGAGUUUCUGCUAAAUUUCUGCUAAAAUUCCUCUGAGAGCAUCGACGAAGGAAGUUUACAUUUAAAAAAGACAAGUUUAUCAGGAGGAAUAAAGGAAAGCAUUCUAUUCAUCAAAGUGUCUUUUCAUGGACUGCUUAAAUCUUCUCAUAUCUAAAACCUUCAAAGUAUCACAUACCAGUUAUGGGAAUUGAUCACUAUAACACUGUGUACAAUAAUUCUUCCAAAAAAGCAAUUAUAAAAAAAAAUAUAAUCCUAUAUAACAAUUUUUGCCUUCUAAGACAACUUCUACAUCCUUCUAUGUAUAGAAUUCUUGCCAAGGCAACAAGUUCUCAACUAGAGAUAUAACGUUAAGACAUCAAAAUUCCUAUCUCUGUCUGCGAGGCAACGUUGAAAUGGAACAAGGAAUCGGAUGCAUCCUCUAGCGAUCCAGUGAAAAGUUGAUCCCUUAAAGAUCCGGGCACGCCCAGGAGCAACGGGCUCCGAUUCAAAGCUUGAAAAAGCUACUUACUUU